UACGAGGGGGGCGAGCGUUGUUCGGAAUUAUUGGGCGUAAAGGGUGCGUAGGCGGUUUGGUGAGUCUUGUGUGAAAUCUACAGGCUCAACUUGUAGUCUGCACGAGAAACUGCCGGGCUUGAGUAUGGGAGAGGUGAGUGGAAUUCCUGGUGUAGCGGUGAAAUGCGUAGAUAUCAGGAGGAACACCUGUGGCGAAAGCGGCUCACUGGACCAUAACUGACGCUGAUGCACGAAAGCUAGGGGAGCAAACAGG
rnacentral:rRNA from 1 species